CAUAUACUCCCUCCGUCCGUAAAUACUUAUCGGAGGAAUGAUUGUAUCUAGCUGCAUUUUAGUUUUAGAUGCAUCCAUUUAUAUCCAUUUCCGCGACAAGUAUUUCCGGACGGAGGGAGUACCAA
rfam:Triticum urartu cultivar G1812 contig657545, whole genome shotgun sequence.